CCUACGGGUGGCAGCAGUCGAGAAUCAUUCACAAUGGGGGAAACCCUGAUGGUGCGACGCCGCGUGGGGGAAUGAAGGUCUUCGGAUUGUAAACCCCUGUCAUGUGGGAGCAAAUUAAAAAGAUAGUACCACAAGAGGAAGAGACGGCUAACUCUGUGCCAGCAGCCGCGGUAAUACAGAGGUCUCAAGCGUGGUUCGGAAUCACUGGGCGUAAAGCGUGCGGAGGCUGUUUCGUAAGUCGUGUGUGAAAGGUGCGGGCUCAACCCGCGGACGGCACAUGAUACUGCGAGACUAGAGUAAUGGAGGGGGAACCGGAAUUCUCGGUGUAGCAGUGAAAUGCGUAGAUAUCGAGAGGAACACUCGUGGCGAAGGCGGGUUCCUGGACAUUAACUGACGCUGAGGCACGAAGGCCAGGGGAGCGAAAGGGAUUAGAUACCCCUGUAGUC
rnacentral:rRNA from 1 species